AGAGUUCAAGAUGACGACGCCGCUGGAAGCUGCUUCGAUCUGCGACGGUGGCAGUUUCGCUGACAGAAGCUCCGAUUCGGCGUCAAUUGUGGUAGUGACGGUGGAGUUUGUUGGAGGAAGUUAGAAGAGGAAAUUAGGGUUGAGGAGGUGAGGUGAGUGGCUUCGCGACGAGCACAGAGACGUUGAGGAAGAGAAGAGUGGCGGCGGCUGGGGGCUGAUGGUAGCGGCGAAUGGGGGCUGACGGUAGCGGCGGCUGGGGGCUCUGAUAGGGUUAGGGAUUUGAAUGUGAGAGUGAGAGAGAAGAGAGAGGGGUAGGGACGUAGACGUAGUGCUGUU